CAAUAGCGUAUAUUAAUGUUGUUGCAGUUAAAAAGCUCGUAGUUGGAUUUCUGUCGGGAGCGUCCGGUCCGGCCCUCACGGGCUGCGUACUGGUGACGUCUCUUGACAUCCUUGCGAAGAACGCGUUUGGCAUUAAGUUGUUGGGCGUCGGGACUCGCAUCGUUUACUGUGAAAAAUUAGAGUGUUUAAAGCAGGCAAUUGCUGUGAAUACAUUAGCAUGGAAUAAUAAGAUAGGACUUUGGUGCUAUUUUGUUGGUUUGCACACCGAGGUAAUGAUUAACAGGGACAGUUGGGGGUAUUCGUAUUUCGUUGUCAGAGGUGAAAUUCUUGGAUUUAUGAAAGACGAACUACUGCGAAAGCAUUUACCAAGGAUGUUUUCAUUAAUCAAGAACGAAAGUUAGGGGAUCAAAGACGAUCAGAUACCGU
rnacentral:rRNA from 1 species